rnacentral:misc_RNA from 1 species
GAAAUGCGAUAAGUAAUGUGAAUUGCAGAAUUCAGUGAAUCAUCGAAUCUUUGAACGCAUCUUGCGCUCCUUGGUAUUCCUUGGAGCAUGCCUGUUUGAGUAUCAUGAAAUCUUCAAAGUAAAUCUUUUGUUAACUCAAUUGGUUUCUACUUUGGUAUUGGAGGUCUUUGCAGCUUCACACCCGCUCCUCUUUGUUCAUUAGCUGGAUCUCAGUGUUAUGCUUGGUUCCACUCGGCGUGAUAAGUUAUCUAUCGCUGAGGACACUGUAAAAGGUGGCCAAGGUAAAUGCAGAUGAACCGCUUCUAAUAGUCCAUUGACUUGGACAAUACUUUUAUGAUCUGAUCUCAAAUCAGGUAGGACUACCCGCUGAACUUAAGC